UCUAUAAAGAUGCUCAGUCGUCGCCGCUAGCCCAUGCACCAUGUCCUCCCACUGCUCUGUGCUCCUCCGCCAGUGGCAAUGGAAGAAGAGAUCCCCGUGCUCUUCAUUGACAAUGGCUCCUGCAUGUGAAAAGCAGCUUUGCUGGGACAGUGCCCUCUGAGCCAUGUUCCCCUCCAUCGUUGGGCACCCCUGGCACCAGGGCGUGAUGGUGGGCAUGGGCCAGAAGGACUCCUACAUGGACGACGAGGCCCAGAGCAAGUGCAGCAUCCUGACCCUGAAAUACCCCAUCAAGCAUGGCAUGGUCACAAACUGGGACGACAUGGAGAAGAUCUGGCACCACGUUUUCUACAAGGAGCUGCGUGUGGCCCUGGAGGAGCAGCUGGUGCUGCUGACCGAGGCCCUGCUAAACCCCAGGGCCAACAGGGAGAAGAUGACUCAGAUCAUGUUUAAGACCUUCAACACCCUGGCCAUGUACGUGGCCAUUCAGGCUGUGCUGCCCCUCUACAUCUCUGGUUGCACCACUGGCAUUGUCAUGGACUCUGGAGAUGGGGUCACCCACACGGUGCCCAUCUACAAGGGACACACCCUCCCUCACACCAUCUUGAAUCUGGACCUGGCUGGCCAGGACCUUACUGACUACCUCAUGAAGAUCCCUACCUAGCGCGACUAUAGCUUCACCACCACGGCCAAGCGGAAACUCAUGUGCGACAUCAAGGAGAAGCUAUGCUAUGUCGCCCUGGACUUUGAGCAGGAGAUGGCCACUGCUGCAUCCUCCUCCUCCCUGGAGAAGAGCUACGAGCUGCCUGACAGCCAGGUCAUCAUUAUCAGCAAUGAGCGGUUCUGGUGUCCAAAGCACUGUUCCAGCCUUCCUUCCUGGGCAUGGAAUCCUGUGGCAUCCAUGAAAGUGCCUUCAGCUCCAUCAUGAAGUGUGACAUGGACAUCCCCAAAGACCUGUACGCCAACACAGUGCUGUCUGGUGGCACCACCAUGUACCCUGGCAUCACCGAUAGGAUGCAGAAGGAGAUCACCACCCUGGCACCCAGCACCAUGAAGAUCAAGAUAUCGUGCCCCCAGAGUGCAAGUACUUCGUGUGGAUCGGUGGCUCCAUCCUGGCCUCACUGUCCACGUUCCAGCAGAUGUGGAUUAGCAAGCAGGAGUACGACGAGUCGGGCCCCUCCAUCGUCCACCACAAAUGCUUCUAA